rnacentral:rRNA from 1 species
UCGAGAAUCAUUCGCAAUGGGCGAAAGCCUGACGGUGCAGGAAGACGGCCCUAUGGGUUGUAAACUGCUUUUGUACGGGAAAAAACCCCGGGUUUCGGACCUGGGCUGAUGGUACCGUAAGAAUAAGGAUCGGCUAACUCCGUGCCAGCAGCCGCGGUAAUACGGAGGAUCCAAGCGUUAUCCGGAUUUAUUGGGUUUAAAGGGUGCGCAGGCGGAAUGAUAAGUCAGUGGUGAAAUCCUACGGCUCAACUGUAGAACUGCCAUUGAUACUGUCGUUCUUGAGUACACUUGGAGUGGGCGGAAUGUGUCAUGUAGCGGUGAAAUGCUUAGAUAUGACACAGAACACCGAUCGCGAAGGCAGCUCACUAAAUUGUAACUGACGCUCAGGCACGAAAGCGUGGGGAUCAAACA